rnacentral:tRNA from 1 species
AGUUGAAAAGCGAACGUCGCACCUAGUUUCGACCUAGGCCCCGGUGGACACACCUUCAAUUA